CUCGACGGGGUCCGAGUUGUAAUUUGUAGAGGAUGCUUCGGCCUGGGCCUCUUGCCAAGUUCCUUGGAACAGGACGUCCUAGAGGGUGAGAGCCCCGUGUCGGCUUGAGUAUUAUGGCCAUGUGAAGCUCCUUCAAAGAGUCGAGUUGUUUGGGAAUGCAGCUCUAAGUGGGAGGUAAAUUUCUUCUAAAGCUAAAUAUUCGGUGUCACCGAUAGCGAACAAGUAGAGUGAUCGAAAGAUGAAAAGCACUUUGAAAAGAGAGUUAAAAAGCACGUGAAAUUGUUGAAAGGGAAGCGCUUGCCCCCAGACUUGUUUGCAGUUGUUCAGCCUCCCCUUGUGGGUGGUGUACUCUUCUGCAUACGGGCCAGCAUCAGCUUUGGCGGCCGGAUAAAGGCUUUGGGAAUGUAGCUCCUCUCGAGGAGUGUUAUAGCCCGAAGUGCAAUGCGGCCAGCCGGGGUUGAGGACCGCGUCUUU
rnacentral:rRNA from 1 species